rnacentral:antisense_RNA from 1 species
UUCACGGUGUACGGCCAGCGCCCGUCGGGGACGUUCAGCGCCUCGUCGCCGAUGUGGUCGCCGUCGGCGUGCACGGCGAGCACGGUGUCGUCGCCGUACUUGCCGGUGCCGAUCCGCUCGACCUUGCCGUGCGCGAUCAGGUAGACCUCGGUGAUCGGGGCGCCCUCCUGGAUCAGCACCUCGCCGGCGUGGAAGUCGCGCUGCACGAAGCGCGCGGCGAGCUGCUCCAGCACCACGCCGUCGUCGAAGCCGCGCAGCACCGGGACCUCGCGCAGGGUGGGCGCCGCCACCUUGACCUCCCGGCCGGUCUGCACGAAGGACACCCGGCCGCGGCCGACCGCGUAGGAGAGCCGCCGGUUGACCCGGUAGGUGCCGGCCGAGACGUGCACCCAGGGCAGCUUGCGCAGCAGCCAGCGCGAGCUGAUCUCCUGCAUCUGCGGCCUGGACUUGGUGGUGGUGGCCAGGUUGCGCGCCGCUGCGGUGCUGAGGCUCUGCUG